rfam:Archaeoglobus fulgidus DSM 4304, complete genome.
GCGGGGGUUGCCGAGCGGCCAAAGGCGCUGGAUUUAGGGUCCAGUCCCGUAGGGGUUCGAGGGUUCGAAUCCCUCCCCCCGCA